ACCGUAGUCGAGCGGUAGCACAGAGAGCUUGCUCUCGGGUGACGAGCGGCGGACGGGUGAGUAAUGUCUGGGAAACUGCCUGAUGGAGGGGGAUAACUACUGGAAACGGUAGCUAAUACCGCAUAACGUCGCAAGACCAAAGUGGGGGACCUUCGGGCCUCAUGCCAUCAGAUGUGCCCAGAUGGGAUUAGCUAGUAGGUGGGGUAACGGCUCACCUAGGCGACGAUCCCUAGCUGGUCUGAGAGGAUGACCAGCCACACUGGAACUGAGACACGGUCCAGAUCCUACGGGAGGCAGCAGUGGGGAAUAUUGCACAAUGGGCGCAAGCCUGAUGCAGCCAUGCCGCGUGUGUGAAGAAGGCCUUCGGGUUGUAAAGCACUUUCAGCGGGGAGGAAGGCGAUAAGGUUAAUAACCUUGGCGAUUGACGUUACCCGCAGAAGAAGCACCGGCUAACUCCGUGCCAGCAGCCGCGGUAAUACGGAGGGUGCAAGCGUUAAUCGGAAUUACUGGGCGUAAAGCGCACGCAGGCGGUCUGUCAAGUCGGAUGUGAAAUCCCCGGGCUCAACCUGGGAACUGCAUUCGAAACUGGCAGGCUAGAGUCUUGUAGAGGGGGGUAGAAUUCCAGGUGUAGCGGUGAAAUGCGUAGAGAUCUGGAGGAAUACCGGUGGCGAAGGCGGCCCCCUGGACAAAGACUGACGCUCAGGUGCGAAAGCGUGGGGAGCAAACAGGAUUAGAUACCCUGGUAGUCCACGCCGUAAACGAUGUCGAUUUGGAGGUUGUGCCCUUGAGGCGUGGCUUCCGGAGCUAACGCGUUAAAUCGACCGCCUGGGGAGUACGGCCGCAAGGUUAAAACUCAAAUGAAUUGACGGGGGCCCGCACAAGCGGUGGAGCAUGUGGUUUAAUUCGAUGCAACGCGAAGAACCUUACCUGGUCUGACAUCCACAGAACUUUCCAGAGAUGGAUUGGUGCCUUCGGGAACUGUGAGACAGGUGCUGCAUGGCUGUCGUCAGCUCGUGUUGUGAAAUGUUGGGUUAAGUCCCGCAACGAGCGCAACCCUUAUCCUUUGUUGCCAGCGGUUCGGCCGGGAACUCAAAGGAGACUGCCAGUGAUAAACUGGAGGAAGGUGGGGAUGACGUCAAGUCAUCAUGGCCCUUACGACCAGGGCUACACACGUGCUACAAUGGCAUAUACAAAGAGAAGCGACCUCGCGAGAGCAAGCGGACCUCAUAAAGUAUGUCGUAGUCCGGAUUGGAGUCUGCAACUCGACUCCAUGAAGUCGGAAUCGCUAGUAAUCGUAGAUCAGAAUGCUACGGUGAAUACGUUCCCGGGCCUUGUACACACCGCCCGUCACACCAUGGGAGUGGGUUGCAAAAGAAGUAGGUAGCUUAACCUUCGGGAGGGGCAUUCACG
rnacentral:rRNA from 1 species